CGUGAAUCCGGGGGGAAUGUUUAUUUGUUGCUUUUUUAAUCUCUCUUUGUGAGAUCAAAGAUUUCCAGUAAUUGAAAAUCAUGUUGGUAACUUUGAGGAAGCUGAGGCAUGUCCAUGUGCCCAAGUGGACCAGCAAGGAGAUGACCCAGAUGUUGAUGGUUUAUAUCAGACUGGAGCAGAGGAUGAGAGCCAGGCCUAGGAACUUCCCUAUGAUCGACAUGUGGAACCAGAUCGUAAGGGAACACCAACAGAAGAUGGGGAUCUACCACACUGGAAUGCAGGUUCAUCACCACUAUGAAGACCUGCAUCAAAGGGAUUUAGCCAAACUUUGAAUGAGGGUCAAUGAGGUGCUGAGGCAGCUCGUAGAUCCCUACAAACACUUGUAAUAAUUGAGUUCUUCCAAAACAGCCCUAUUGCACAACCGACUUUAUUAGACAUUCCUUCAUGCAGGAUCACUGACAAGCUGCUAUGAAUCGUCAAGUUCCCUUACUUGAAUAUAGAAAUGCCAGAAUUAUACAACUGUGGAGAAAGAGCAGACACCCCUCAACAGGUUCUUUGUAUUUAACUACAAGUUUGCAGAGGCCACAGAUGUAUUUCUAAAAUGUAUUAAACAAAAAAGUCACAAUAAACAUAUAACAGCAGCAUUCAAGAAAACGGCUUCUGUAUUUACCAGAUCAAUAAUAAAAAACACAGUAUUAGAGCAGACAAACUCUGUGCUCCUGUUUAUCUCUACUGACAAUUCUUUUUCCUCACUGGGCAAGAACAUCCUCAUCAUUUUACAAGAAUGCAAAGAACAGUGACUGUUGUGGUGAAAAAGAAACAUAAUUUGUUAACAAAAGGGGUGUGUAAGAGGCUGCAAAUGAUGCAGCCAUGUAUUACUAACUCAUAAUUAAAGAGUUAAAGGGAAGUUGUUACGGAGAUGUUUUACAUUGACAAUGUACAACAUUGUGGUUGUGCUACCAGCAAUGCCUCUAAUAAUAAGCAUUUGAUGCAGUUAUUUGUCAGUAUGUUAAAUUUCCCUAUCUUCUUGUUAGCUUGCUCAUCUUUUGAGGUGAUGGAGAAGGCUAGAUGUUUGCAAUAUGUGCUUGUGUUCUCUUCGGUGUCUUUCUCAUGUUUUUUUGUUUUAUGUAGUUUUGUAGUAUCCUACUUGUUAAUUUAAAAUUAGGUAUAUAAAGAAAAAUGAAGGGGACUGUUUAUAUAAGACACUAUUGCUGCUAAAUAACUAGAAAAGAGUGCAGCAGACUUAACUGGUUUAACAUUUUCUGAGUGUAGGGAAGUAUGCGACAUUGCAAGUGCCCGUGAACUGCCUUGUUGUUUUCAUUGAAUCCACAUGUAUGUGAUAUCUGAGUUCAGAUGCAUAACCAACUGUUAACUUCCUUGUUUGUCUUUAAUAUUCCUGCAUUAGCUAUUGCUGUAUAAUAUGAAUGAUUAAACAUAAAAUGGUUCAUCUGUA